rnacentral:misc_RNA from 1 species
GAGAAGCUUCAAGAUCCUACCCUCGACAUUCACAAGGAAGGGAAAUACCUCUUGCUUGCUGUUCAAGAACUGGUUUCAGGAGAUCAAUGUGAAGGAAGGUUCGUCUUUGGACGUGAAAGCAAGAAGCCUAAGGAGUCAAGGGAAAACAGUAGAUUUACGAAAGAUGGAACAAAUCCUAAAAGCUUGCUACAAACUCUUUUGAUGAGAGCUGGGCACUCCCCUCCAAAAUACAAAACAAAACACCUCAAGACAAAUGAGUUUAGGGCACUGGUUGAAUUCAAGGGAAUGCAAUUUGUGGGCAAACCAAAGAAAAACAAACAACUGGCAGAGAGGGAUGCUGCUAUAGAAGCACUGGCCUGGUUGACUCACACCUCUGAGAACAAUCAAGAUGAGCACGACAAUUCCCCACCCGAUGUCACAGACAACAUGUUAAAACUUCUGGGGAAACGCCGGAGAUCAAAGCGUGGCUCUGGUUGACGAUUAGUUAUGCUGUGCACUACUUUCUCGAUGGCUACAUGGCAACCGAUAAGAAAAUACAUAAUUCUUGAGACAGAUUUCUGCCAUUUGGUGUUAAAAUUUCACUGUUUGUGCACUACAGGCCAGCGAUAUUGGUUAUAGGGUAAGCAUUCUCAUUAGAUUACUAAGUUAUUCAUAGAUGCUAUGGUUUUCUGCCAAGGCAUCAGUGAUACAGGGCCAGUGCAAGAAGAAUACAUCAGGAAAGAGAAAAAUUUUUGUUUACUUAUUCCCAUUGGGUUCAAACUCCGAACCUCACUGCUAUAGAUAUUACUCCAGUAAAGGCUGUAAAAUUUUAAGGAUAUUAGCAAGUUUUGAUAUUGAGAGGCAGUUGAUAGCAAAAUUUGAAUGAA